GGAGGAGGAGUCGCCCCGCCGGACGCGGACUGGACCAGCGGCCGCCGGGGACCAUCAAACUCUUGUAUUAUCAGCAUCUUCUGAAUACGCCGCAAGGCAAAACAAAUAAAUUAAAACUUUCAACAACGGAUCUCUUGGCUCUGGCAUCGAUGAAGAACGCAGCGAAAUGCGAUAAGUAAUGUGAAUUGCAGAAUCCAGUGAAUCAUCGAAUCUUUGAACGCACAUUGCGCCCGCCAGCAUUCUGGCGGGCAUGCCUGUUCGAGCGUCAUUUCAACCCUCGACCUCCCUUUGGGGAAGUCGGCCUUGGGGACCGGCAGCACACCGCCGGCCCUGAAAUGGAGUGGCGGCCCGUCCGCGGCGACCUCUGCGUAGUAAACCAACUCGCACCGGAACCCCGACGUGGCCACGCCGUAAAACACCCAACUUCUGAACGUUGACCUCGAAUCAGGUAGGACUACCCGCUGAACUUAAGCAUAUCAAUAAGCGGAGGAACAU
rnacentral:misc_RNA from 1 species